rnacentral:lncRNA from 1 species
CAGGAAAGAUGGUGUGGCUAACCAGAGAGAGAAUCUGACUCCGGAUCUAGCUGGCGGCCUCUCUUAUUCAUGAGUACCAGCCACAGCUUUUACAUGUUUGCUUCAUCAACGUGACAGAGGUUUUAAAGGAACAAUAGGAUAAACCAGCUGAUUUUCAGGGAUAUUUUCAGCUUCAUAUUUCUGUGAUAAAAAUGAGAAGACAGAAGUGGAUAACCUACCACGAGAUGCUGCUGAGAUGCUUUGCAGCUUCCCGAAUGGAUUGAAGGAUUAAAGAAGAAAAUCUUCAUCAGAAAUAAAAACAUGGCACUGUUUAUACA